GGUUAUGGCUCAGUGGUAGGGUGCUUGCCUAAGCAUGCAAGAGGCUCUGGGUUCAAUCCCCAGUACCA
rnacentral:tRNA from 1 species